rnacentral:tRNA from 1 species
GUCAAUGUAGCUUACUAAAAGCAAGGCACUGAAAAUGCCUAGACGAGUUAGCCCAACUCCAUAGACA